AUUUUGGUGAUGUUUUGAUGAUUAUUGUAAUGUACAUAGUAAGUAGAUGGUUUCAUGCAAGUGGCAGAUGAAGCGUGGGGUAAGAAUUGGAUAUUUGCAAUGCAUGUAUAUUUUUUGGUGACAGGGGAUUUCACAUGGUUAAAGAAGAGAAGUUAAGACUUGUCUCUUCACCAACUAGAAACUAUUGGCAUACAACAACCAUCCUUUAAAUGUCACAACAGGUUUGUCGUUAGUUAUAACCCUAG